UACGGAGGGUGCGAGCGUUGUCCGGAAUCAUUGGGCGUAAAGGGCGCGUAGGUGGCGGGACAAGCGUGCGGUGAAAGCCUGGGGCUCAACCCCGGGUCGGCCGUGCGAACUGUUUUGCUUGAGCACGGUAGAGGCAGGCGGAAUUCCGGGUGUAGCGGUGGAAUGCGUAGAGAUCCGGAAGAACACCGGUGGCGAAGGCGGCCUGCUGGGCAGUAGCUGACACUGAGGCGCGACAGCGUGGGGAGCAAACAGG
rnacentral:rRNA from 1 species